GACGAACCGUGCAAACGUUGUUCGGAAUCACUGGGCUUAAAGGGCGCGUAGGCGGGUCUCCCAGUCUGUGGUGAAAGCCCCCGGCUCAACCGGGGAAGUGCCGUGGAUACUGGAGACCUCGAGGAGGGUAGGGGCAUCUGGAACAGUAGGUGGAGCGGUGAAAUGCGUUGAUAUCUACUGGAACUCCGGUGGCGAAGGCGAGGUGCUGGGCCCUUUCUGACGCUGAUGCGCGAAAGCCAGGGGAGCAAACGGG
rnacentral:rRNA from 1 species